rnacentral:ncRNA from 2 species
UUCUCAUCGAGAGCGGCGGAGGGACUGGCCCUAUGAAGCCCGGCAACCGAUGUGACCGUACCAAACUACGGCGCACUGGCGGUGCUAAAUCCUGCGGACAAAAGCACGUCCGAUAGAUGAGAA